UAGUUUUCUAUGAUGGUCUAUGGCAAAGAGU
rnacentral:piRNA from 1 species